rfam:Asian citrus Psyllid, Diaphorina citri - Florida Strain, whole genome shotgun sequence.
GCUAUUGGCAAUAGCACGUUGAAAGCAAUAGAUCUCAAGGGAUCACUGAAGUUGAACAACGAUGCGCGUGGUUAGUAUCCGGAUGGGUGAUCAUCUGGGCAAUAGCGUGCUGCUGGAU